GAAACUGGGGAACUUUGAGUGCAGAAGAGGAGAGUGGAAUUUCCACGUGUAGCGGUGAAAUGCGUAGAGAUGUGGAGGAACACCAGUGGCGAAGGCGACUCUCUGGUCUGUAACUGACGCUGAGGAGCGAAAGCGUGGGGAGCGAACAGGAUUAGAUACCCUGGUAGUCCACGCCGUAAACGAUGAGUGCUAAGUGUUAGGGGGUUUCCGCCCCUUAGUGCUGCAGCUAACGCAUUAAGCACUCCGCCUGGGGAGUACGGUCGCAAGACUGAAACUCAAAGGAAUUGACGGGGGCCCGCACAAGCGGUGGAGCAUGUGGUUUAAUUCGAAGCAACGCGAAGAACCUUACCAGGUCUUGACAUCCUCUGACAAUCCUAGAGAUAGGACGUCCCCUUCGGGGGCAGAGUGACAGGUGGUGCAUGGUUGUCGUCAGCUCGUGUCGUGAGAUGUUGGGUUAAGUCCCGCAACGAGCGCAACCCUUGAUCUUAGUUGCCAGCAUUCAGUUGGGCACUCUAAGGUGACUGCCGGUGACAAACCGGAGGAAGGUGGGGAUGACGUCAAAUCAUCAUGCCCCUUAUGACCUGGGCUACACACGUGCUACAAUGGACAGAACAAAGGGCAGCGAAACCGCGAGGUUAGGCCAAUCCCACAAAUCUGUUCUCAGUUCGGAUCGCAGUCUGCAACUCGACUGCGUGAAGCUGGAAUCGCUAGUAAUCGCGGAU
rnacentral:rRNA from 1 species